GAAGUUUAUGUUCCUUUUUCUCCAGAUCUAACCGCAAAACACAUGGAUUAUACUUAGAUUUAAAUGUUUUGACAAAAAAUUUAACGCUUCUAGGUUUCAUCGACAGAUCUGAAGAAUUAGUGUCAACAGCGAUGUCGUAGGUGGUGGAUCUGAAGACCAUAGUGUCAACAACGGCAUCGGAGGUGGUGGAUCUGAAGACCCUUGUGUCAACGAUGACGUCGGAGAUGGUGGUGGAAGUGAAGGACCACCGAAGAUGCUCGCACCUUUUACCACCGCCACUACGUUUUGAAGCUUCCGCCAGUUCACCACCAAUACAUCUCGGCCGCCGCCGUCGUUUUGUUCUCCGUUGCUCCGUCGCCGCAAUAAUACAUCUCCGUCACUCUGGCCGAUGCUAUAGAUAUAGUUGUAUAGAUAUAUAUUUAUUAUACAUAUAAUGAAUUUAAGAAACAAAUAAAAACUAUUAUUAA